ACGCUGAAUUAUUCCCAGGGUUUCAACGGCCUGAUUUGCACUUAACGCUGUCAGGGCCGGGAGAGACGUCCACAGGUCACCUGUCAAAAAGGUGCAUUUCCCGGUCGGCCACCUCUCGCCGCAGCCGGUCCACAUCCUGGCCGAGAUGCAGCCGGUCCUCCCUGUCGUCGGAGGCCUCGUCCAGCUGCUUGGACAGGUAGAAGUUCUGGCGGUUCAGCUCGGCGUUCUCCUGAGUCAGCGUGGUCAGCUGCUCCUCCAGGCCGGGGACCGACAGCAGCAACUAAAUACUCAAGGCGGAGCGAAGCUGGGCUCAGAGCUGCAGUGGAUACAGCGGUGAUCCGGCGAGCCUCCAUGUACCAUUUAGCAUCUACAGCCACACUCGCUGAACCCACUCUGAAUCACAUCCGGAGCGUCGCAUCCUCAGCACUGCUGGAUACCGACUACUGUUUGUGAAUGCUGGGGGUGCAGAGCGAAUACAAAG
ensembl:lncRNA